UUGCUCUCUGAAUUUUUAACUUUACAGGUUGCAAUGAACAUUCUCUAGGACAGAUGCCUGAAGGUGGAAUUGCUAGAGCAAAGGCUCAUGAAAUGAGGUUUCCAGCAGCCCCCUGGCCACCAGCUCAGCUCACCGCCGAGGAGGCACCACCAAGAACUCCGCCAGAGGAGGUAUCCAUGGCAGGCUGGACUGGGACUCAAUCCAAAGGAAGGGUGCCAUGGCAGACUCAUCAUUCUGACCACCCUGGCUUUGUUAUUGAUCCAGCAUGUCAUGUCUGAUGCUCUGCAAGAAGCCCCCUGGUGGCCUGCCUACAUCUCUCCAGACAUGCCCGAAUAUG